GGGCGUGCAUUCAUUGGCGAGAUAAGCUGACUGUAAAUCAGUGGCGAAAGCUGUGUUAGUUCGAAUCUAACCAUGCCCA
rnacentral:tRNA from 1 species